rnacentral:miRNA from 1 species
AGUCAUCACACUCUCAGUUGAUA